CCUACGGGAGGCAGCAGUGGGGAAUAUUGCGCAAUGGGCGAAAGCCUGACGCAGCGACGCCGCGUGAGGGAUGAAGGUCUUCGGAUCGUAAACCUCUGUCAGCAGGGAAGAACGGUCACUGUGCUAAUCAGCAGUGAAUUGACGGUACCUGCAAAGGAAGCACCGGCUAACUCCGUGCCAGCAGCCGCGGUAAUACGGAGGGUGCGAGCGUUAAUCGGAAUUACUGGGCGUAAAGCGCUCGUAGGCGGUAUGUCAAGUCAAGGGUGAAAUCCCCGCGCUCAACGUGGGAACUGCCUUUGAAACGGGCAAACUGGAGUGUGUGAGAGGAUAGUGGAAUUCCAGGUGUAGGAGUGGAAUCCGUAGAUAUCUGGAGGAACAUCAGUGGCGAAGGCGACUAUCUGGCACAUAACUGACGCUGAGGAGCGAAAGCGUGGGUAGCAAACAGGAUUAGAUACCCCGGUAGUC
rnacentral:rRNA from 1 species